GGAGAUCAGCCACUUAAAGGAGCAUCGCUAUGCUGCGCUCUCAGACAAACAGGUGCAGAUCGAUGAAAGCUAAAAGCACAGUUAGUGGCAGAAGAGGAGAAGUUAAGGCUAGAAGAGGAGGCUGUUUUUGCAGCCCAGCGCGAGGCAGCGCGGCUCGCUAAGGAACGAAAGCUAAAGGAGGGGAAGCCCCAGAGGACCAAACUCAGAUCAGAACCAGAGAGCAAAGACAGUCGGCACAAACC